rnacentral:rRNA from 1 species
CCGUUCUUAGUUCGUGGGGUGACUUGUCUGCUUAAAUUGGAUAACGAGCGAGACCUUACUCUGCUAAGUAGCCAGGCUAGCUUUGGCUGGUCGCCGGCUUUCUUAGAGAGACUAUCAACUCAAGUUGAUGGAAGUUGAGGCAAUAACAGGUCUGUGAUGCCCUUAGAUGUUCUGGCCGCACGCGCGCUACACUGACAGAGCCAACGAGUUCUUCACCUUGACCGAAAGGUCUGGGUAAUCUUGUUAAACUCUGUCGUGCUGGGGAUAAAGCAUUGCAAUUAUUGCUUUUCAACGAGGAAUGCCUAGUAAGCGCGUGUCAUCAGCAUGCGUUGAUUACGUCCCUGACCUUUGUACACACCGCCCGUCGCUACUACCGAUUGAAUGGCUCAGUGAGGCGUUUGGACUGGCUCGGGGAGGUUGGCAACGACCACCCCAAGCCGGAAAGUUCUCCAAACUUGGUCAUUUAGAGGA